AUUCAGCAGAAGACAUCACACUCUCCCGUACCGAGCUGUGUGUCCAUGAAGAGUGACCAGUCCAUGGAUCUUCCACUUCCCUUAGCAGAAGGAGGUGUUCCUGCUGGUCAGAGCUCCAUCCAGCAGAAGAGAUCACACUCUCCCGUACCAAGCUGUGUGUCCAUGAAGAGUGACCAGUCCAUGGAACUUCCACUUCGCUUUGCAGAAGGAGGUGUUCCUGCUGGUCAGAGCUCCAUCCAGCAGAAGAGAUCACACUCUCCCGUACCGAGCUGUGUGUCCAUGAAGAGUGAUCAGUCCAUGGAACUUCCACUUCGCUUUGCAGAAGGAGGUGUUCCUGCUGGUCAGAGGUGAGUAGUAAUGAGGACUUUCCACAGGAAAUACAAUCAUCCAUAUAGUCAUUUGAAGUACACCUGAAAAAUUAAAGUGUACCA